UAUUAUAUGGCGUGGUGUUAUAUGGCGUGGUGUUAUAUGGCGUGGUAUUAUAUGACGUGGUAUUAUAUGACAUGGUAUUAUAUGGCGUGGUAUGAUAUGGCGUGGUAUUAUAUGACGUGGUAUUAUAUGGCGUGGUGUUAUAUGGCGUGGCAUUAUAUGACGUGGUAUUAUAUGGCGUGGUAUUAUAUGACAUGGUAUUAUAUGGCGUGGUAUGAUAUGGUGUGGUGUGAUAUGGGGUGGUAUGAUAUGGGGUGGUAUUAUAUGGCGUGGUAUUAUAUGGCGUGGUGUUAUAUGGCGUGGUGUUAUAUGGCGUGGUAUUAUAUGGCGUGGUAUUAUAUGACAUGGUAUUAUAUGGCGUGGUAUGAUAUGGCGUGGUAUGAUAUGGGGUGGUAUGAUAUGGGGUGGUAUGAUAUGGGGUGGUGGCACACUCGAGGCGCGCAGCGCCGAGGUGAAUAAACACAUAUCCCCGAGGUGCCUCAAAAUAACGUACUUAUUUUUCACACUGCGAGGUCGCGUUAAUGAGUCAGAAAAGAAAUAAUUCUCAAUGCCAUAUUGCUUUUGCGAUGUUGUUUUUUUCUCGUUUUUUUGUGCUGCAAAGACAUUGCAGGUGAAUAUUAGAGGGAUUAUUAAUUGCAGGUGAAUAUUAGAGGGGAUUAUUAAACGGAAAUUGAUUAGAGGAGAAAUUGAAUAUAUUCCCCGACAAGAACAAAGGAAACCGAGCAGGGUGAAAAAUAAGGCGUGGUAUUAUAUGGCGUGGUAUUAUCUGGCGUGGUAUUAUAUGGCGUGGUAUUAUAUGGCGUGGUAUUAUAUGGGGUGGUAUUAUAUAUAUGGGGUGGUAUGAUAUGGGGUGAUAUUAUAUGUGGUGGUAUUAUAUGGCGUGGUAUUAUAUGGCAUGGUAUGGUAUGGCGUGGUAUGAUAUGGGGUGGUAUUAUAUGGGGUGGUAUUAUAUGGGGUGCUAUAUGGGGUGGUAUGAUAUGGGGUGUUGUUAUAUGGUGUGGUGUUAUAUGGGGUGGUGUUGUAUGGGGUGGUGUUAUAUGGCGUGGUAUUAUAUGGCGUGGUAUUAUAUGGCGUGGUAUUAUAUGGCGUGGUAUUAUAUGGGGUGGUUUAUAUGGGGUGGUAUUAUAUGGGGUGGUAUUAUAUGGAGUGGUAUUAUAUGGGGUGGUAUGAUAUGGGGUGGUAUGAUAUGAGGUGGUAUGAUAUGAGGUGGUAUGAUAUGGUGUGGUAUUAUAUGGCAUGGUAUUAUAUGGUGUGGUAUUAUAUGGCGUGUUGUUAUAUGGCAUGGUGUUGUAUGCAUGGCGUUAUAUGGCGUGGUACGUGUUAUAUGCAUUGCGUGGUGUUAUAUGGCGUGGUGUUAUAUUGCGUGGUAUUAUAUGGCGUGGUAUUAUAUAGGGUGGUAUGAUAUGGGGUGGUAUUAUAUGGGGUGGUAUUAUAUGGGGUGGUAUUAUAUGGGG
rnacentral:lncRNA from 1 species